UGAUUACUGCAAAUUGCUGAGACAAACAUCCAUUAGCUUAAAUGUGAGCAAAUCAGGGGAGACAUCUUAUUUAUACAAGAGGGAUAACCACGGUCAAUUAUUUCGAGGUCCUAAAAUCUUGAAUCCAGAAUUUAUCCAGAAGUCACCUUUGUCAAAUUCCCAACUUAAAUGUGAGCAAAUCAGAGGAAUCAUCUUAUUUAUACAAGAGAGAUAACCACAGUCAAACCAUUUCAAGUUCCUAAAAUCUUGAAUCCAGAAUUUAUCCAGAAGUCACCUUUGUCAAAUUCCCAACUUAAAUGUGAGCAAAUCAGAGGAAUCAUCUUAUUUAUACAAGAGAGAUAACCACAGUCAAACCAUUUCAAGU
rnacentral:misc_RNA from 1 species